UAGGGAAUCUUCCACAAUGGGCGCAAGCCUGACGGAGCAACACCGCGUGAGUGAAGAAGGGUUUCGGCUCGUAAAGCUCUGUUGUUAAAGAAGAACACGUAUGAGAGUAACUGUUCAUACGCUGACGGUAUUUAACCAGAAAGUCACGGCUAACUACGUGCCAA
rnacentral:rRNA from 1 species